CCUACGGGAGGCUGCAGUGGGGAAUAUUGGGCAAUGGGCGCAAGCCUGACCCAGCAACGCCGCGUGAAGGAAGAAGGCUUUCGGGUUGUAAACUUCUUUUCUCAGGGACGAAGCAAGUGACGGUACCUGAGGAAUAAGCCACGGCUAACUACGUGCCAGCAGCCGCGGUAAUACGUAGGUGGCAAGCGUUAUCCGGAUUUACUGGGUGUAAGGGGCGUGUAGGCGGGGACGCAAGUCAGAUGUGAAAACCACGGGCUCAACCUGUGGCCUGCAUUUGAAACUGUGUGUCUUGAGUACUGGAGAGGCAGACGGAAUGCCGGGUGUAGCGGUGAAAUGCGUAGAUAUGAGGAGGAACACCAGUGGCGAAGGCGGUCUGCUGGACAGCAACUGACGCUGAGGCGCGAAAGCGUGGGGAGCAAACAGGAUUAGAUACCCCUGUAGUC
rnacentral:rRNA from 1 species